CCCCGGUGGGUGUGGCCGCGGCCGCACCACGUGACCUCUGCUAUAUAAAGUAUGGGUUGGAGCCGUUCUGCCUUUUCCUUUCCCGCCGCCAUGAGGGUGCGGUGUCCCUCAGGCGGUCCCACCGUUCAACAUGUAUCAGCUACACUCUUCUUUCCUGUGGCUGCAGUGCAGAUCUGCCCCCAAAUGUGGAGACCUAAUGCUACUUCUUUCCAAGGAUUUGAACCCUGCACUUCAGAGGGAUGCACAAGGAACAUCAUCACCUGGCACUGGGAGAUGAAACUAAAAGCUGUUACAAGGCUGCCCUUGACAUGAGCCCUAUGCCUCUGGUGUGAGAAACCAUUUCACCUGUUACUAAUGUUGGUGAAGGCCCUCCUAAUUAAAGGUUGCAGGUUUCCAAAUGUUUCUCAUUGUGAGGUGUGAUGGAGCUGGGAAGUAAAGGACCUGGUAGUGCUGCCAGCAAAAGGUGAUGCUUGCAUGGAGUUUGAGAAACAAGAUAAAUGUGCCUGAGGAAGGGACUGUACAGUGUCUGCAGCCUCACUAGGUGAAGAGGCAACUCUGAAACUAGCAUAUGAAGAAUUGAGAAGGUGGAAGAUUGGAUGAAUGGGUUACACUUGCAUGAACAGCAUUAAAAAAGCCAAUGUGUUUUUACCUCACUGGUAAUGUUUGCCUGAUGUUGAUUGGAGCGAAUAAAAAUCUGUAAACUCUA